GGCGCAGGAACAACACCGUAGGCACAAGCGCUGUUCUGGAGGCAGCCUACGUAAACAUUAUAACCACGUUCACAAUGUGACUUCAAAGAAAAUGUCAUGAUGCCAAGCUUACGGUUACGUCAUGGCUAUCUUAGGUGAAGGAAGUAAAGAAGGAAGGACUACUGUGAGGAGUGACGGCUCAUAGAUGACCCAGUAACCUUUCAGCAGGACAAUAGUUGAUCAUGAGCUGCUGAGGUGAACAGGUUCAACACCUUGGAUAAUUUACUUGUCUGUCACAACACAAACAAAUCCACGCUCUCUCCAGCUAAUUCAGUGCUCUCAGUUUACUUGGCCUACAUAUAUUUGGCCUGUGGGCCAUAAAUAAACAUUUAAAGGUGAAAAUUA